CAAAGCAUAGCCCAAUCACAUGCAUAAUUCCACCGAUAUCAAUGACCGGCUCCCGAAGAAUCGGAACUAGUGAAGAAGAAAACAAUACUUUAGGGAAUAUGAGGCACCAGGAAAGCAAUGAAAAAUGCUCUCUGGGCCAAGCGGCAUUCUAUCUUCUUGAUGUUCUCAAUGUAUCACAUUCCAGCAAGGUAAAUUGGGACUUUAUCUACAGAUCUUUCGAUGAAGGGUACUCAUGACUAAGAACCCGCAGGUUGACAAUUAAUUGUCUCUCGACAAUUAAUUGAACACCAUCACCAUGUUGGAUCUUUCAAAAAAAAAUUUUGUCUCCGGACAAAGUUCAUGCCUCGGCUACAAACUGCGCCUGACUCGACUUGAGAUAGAUGAAUGAGCAGCACAUUUCAAGGGAAAAGAUGUCAUGGCGCGGAGUCUCUUUUCUUCGAAAAAAAAAUCACACUUUGAAGUAUCAAAAACAUCUAAAAAAAGCCACAUAUACAUAUGCAUGUACUCUACA